rnacentral:misc_RNA from 1 species
UUUCCGUAGGUGAACCCGCGGAAGGAUCAUUAAAGUUAUAGUCCCCCGGCCCUCUGGGCUGGGGUCUUCUAUACCACCCUUUGUUUAUUACACCUUUGUUGCUUUGGCAGGCCUGCCCUCGGGCUGCUGGCUCCGGCCGGCUCGCGUCUGCCAGAGGACCUAAACUCUGUUUGUAUAUGAAGUCUGAGUACUAUAUAAUAGUUAAAACUUUCAACAACGGAUCUCUUGGUUCUG